UACGUAGGGGGCGAGCGUUGUCCGGAGUUACUGGGCGUAAAGCGCUUGUAGGCGGUCCACCAAGUUUGGGGUGACAGUUGCCGACUUAAUCGGCAAAGUGCCUCAAAGACUGGCGGACUUGAGGGCCACAGAGGGACAUGGAACUCCAGGUGUAGUGGUGAAAUGCGUAGAUAUCUGGAAGAACACCAAAGGCGAAGGCAGUGUCCUGGGUGGUCGCUGACGCUGAGAGGCGAAAGCGUGGGGAGCAAACAGG
rnacentral:rRNA from 1 species